ACGACAUUGUUUUAGUUUUAUUAUUUAAAUCAUACUUUUAUUUUGAAACCAUCUAUGCCUUUAUUUCCCUUUUUUUAUUUUUUAUUUCUAAACCUAACACUUUCAGACUUCUCUAUCUCUUCUCCUUUUCAGCCGACAAGGCCAUUUCAUGCUCACCUGCACGCUGCCAUGGCCGGUGACCGGCGUUGCGGAGGACGAGCUUUUGAGCUCUGUCUUCAAAGCCUCUUUUGAAGACUAAACCUUCAACCACCCAAGAACGAAGGAAAAAAGGAGUUCUUUGUCUCUUUGUCGAACUCGAUUACAACGACGGAGAAAUCACUCCGAUGGAGAGCUCGAAGGGAUUCGGGUGUGGUCAGAGGCGUGGAGGGCAGAAGGUAUGGGCGAUGGUAUGGGAUGCCUGUUUCGGGUGUUGUGCACCCUGAGGCCAGCACAUGGAGGCAGCGACGCAAGGCUUGUGGAGCUAGGGUUUGAAUUGUUGAAAAGUUUUAAGAUAGUUGGGCUAGGAUUUUGACUUGGGCUUGGGUAUUGGGUUAAUGGGCUGAUCUGGUUUGUAUUUUGAUUUGUAAAAGGACUGUAUAAAUGGACAUUUUGAUUUUUUUCAAAA